CAACUAUAAAAAUUCUAUCCACUUUGAAUUUUGCACAUGCGAUUAUGCAUUAUAAACGUAGAGUGAGAUAUAUGUGACUGUAUCAUAUGACAAAACACCUUAUAAUAUAAUAUAAAAUAUUGUAUAAAGGGCAACAAAUGAGAAAACAAGAGUGACGUAGUAGUAGGGUUUUUUUUUUUGUUUUUUUUGCUUUUUUCUUAAAAGGGAGAGAGGUGACGUGGUAGUGACUAGAAGAGCCAUGUCUAGUGUGGCGCCUAGUUAGCGUCGUGUCGGUACAUCGUCAGCUCCACAUGUCAACCUAUUGCUGGUCAAACUUAAUCAAUCUUCAAUACUUUUGUCUUAAUGAAUUUUCCUCCUAGUGUUUUU
rnacentral:lncRNA from 1 species